rnacentral:rRNA from 1 species
AAAGGCGGCUCUCUGGUCUGCAACUGACGCUGAGGCUCGAAAGCAUGGGUAGCGAACAGGAUUAGAUACCCUGGUAGUCCAUGCCGUAAACGAUGAGUGCUAAGUGUUGGGAGGUUUCCGCCUCUCAGUGCUGCAGCUAACGCAUUAAGCACUCCGCCUGGGGAGUACGACCGCAAGGUUGAAACUCAAAGGAAUUGACGGGGGCCCGCACAAGCGGUGGAGCAUGUGGUUUAAUUCGAAGCAACGCGAAGAACCUUACCAGGUCUUGACAUCCAGUGCAAACCUAAGAGAUUAGGUGUUCCCUUCGGGGACGCUGAGACAGGUGGUGCAUGGCUGUCGUCAGCUCGUGUCGUGAGAUGUUGGGUUAAGUCCCGCAACGAGCGCAACCCUUGUCAUUAGUUGCCAUCAUUAAGUUGGGCACUCUAAUGAGACUGCCGGUGACAAACCGGAGGAAGGUGGGGAUGACGUCAAGUCAUCAUGCCCCUUAUGACCUGGGCUACACACGUGCUACAAUGGACGGUACAACGAGAAGCGAACCUGCGAAGGCAAGCGGAUCUCUGAAAGCCGUUCUCAGUUCGGACUGUAGGCUGCAACUCGCCUACACGAAGCUGGAAUCGCUAGUAAUCGCGGAUCAGCACGCCGCGGUGAAUACGUUCCCGGGCCUUGUACACACCGCCCGUCACACCAUGAGAGUCUGUAACACCCAAAGCCGGUGGGAUAACCUUUAUAGGAGUCAGCCGUCUAAGGUAGGACAGAUGAUUAGGGUGAAGUCGUAACAAGGUAGCCGUAGGAGAACCUGCGGCUG